AACGAACGCUGGCGGCAGGCUUAACACAUGCAAGUCGAGCGCCCCGCAAGGGGAGCGGCAGACGGGUGAGUAACGCGUGGGAAUCUACCCAUCUCUACGGAAUAACGCAUGGAAACGUGUGCUAAUACCGUAUACGUCCUUCGGGAGAAAGAUUUAUCGGAGAUGGAUGAGCCCGCGUUGGAUUAGCUAGUUGGUGGGGUAAAGGCCUACCAAGGCGACGAUCCAUAUCUGGUCUGAGAGGAUUAUCAGCCACACUGGGACUGAGACACGGGCCAGACCCCUACGGGAGGCAGCAGUGGGGAAUAUUGGACAAUGGGCGCAAGCCUGAUCCAGCCAUGCCGCGUGAGUGAUGAAGGCCCUAGGGUUGUAAAGCUCUUUCACCGGUGAAGAUAAUGACGGUAACCGGAGAAGAAGCCCCGGCUAACUUCGUGCCAGCCGCCGCGGUAAAAC
rnacentral:rRNA from 1 species